rnacentral:rRNA from 1 species
CCUACGGGUGGCAGCAGUGAGGAAUAUUGGUCAAUGGCCGUAAGGCUGAACCAGCCAAGUAGCGUGAGGGAAGACUGCCCUAUGGGUUGUAAACCUCUUUUAUGCGGGGAUAAAGGUGUCCACGUGUGGAUGUUUGCAGGUACCGCAUGAAUAAGGACCGGCUAAUUCCGUGCCAGCAGCCGCGGUAAUACGGAAGGUCCGGGCGUUAUCCGGAUUUAUUGGGUUUAAAGGGUGCGCAGGCGGAUUGUUAAGUCAGCGGUAAAAUCGUGGGGCUCAACCCCAUCCAGCCGUUGAAACUGGGGGUCUAGAGUGGGCGAGAGGUAUGCGGAAUGCGUGGUGUAGCGGUGAAAUGCAUAGAUAUCACGCAGAACCCCGAUUGCGAAGGCAGCAUACCGGUGCACAACUGACGCUCAGGCACGAAAGCGUGGGUAUCGAACAGGAUUAGAUACCCCUGUAGUC